rnacentral:rRNA from 1 species
UGGGGAAUCUUCCGCAAUGGACGAAAGUCUGACGGAGCAACGCCGCGUGAGUGAAGACGGCCUUCGGGUUGUAAAGCUCUGUGAUCCGGGACGAAAGAGCCUGAGGUGAAUAGCCUAAGGAAGUGACGGUACCGGAAAAGCAAGCCACGGCUAACUACGUGCCAGCAGCCGCGGUAAUACGUAGGUGGCAAGCGUUGUCCGGAAUUAUUGGGCGUAAAGCGCGCGCAGGCGGCUUCCUAAGUCCAUCUUAAAAGUGCGGGGCGUAACCCCGGGAUGGGAUGGAAACUGGGAAGCUGGAGUAUCGGAGAGGAAAGUGGAAUUCCUAGUGUAGCGGUGAAAUGCGUAGAGAUUAGGAAGAACACCGGUGGCGAAGGCGACUUUCUGGACGAAAACUGACGCUGAGGCGCGAAAGCGUGGGGAGCAAACAGG